AUGCCUUCCUCCUCCUGUGCCGGUAACCAUGUGAUCCAUUACCAUGUGUGUUGUCUUUGUAUGCCUUGCUUGGAAAAUACUUAUGGAAUGGUAAGUACUGGGAAUAAUUUCGACAACAUCAAGCCAAGCUCAAACUACGAGAAUCAAUUGGAUGGUUUCAUCAAGCACGCGAGCUUGGCCACAGGAUCCAUGAAUCCUUUUGUUGUGGCACCUCAAAUAGCCUCAUGGGUGCCUUUUUCAUAUAGGGGGAGUAGUAGCUGGCCAUUUAUCUUCUUGCUGUCAAGUUGCAGGAAAAGACGUGAAGGCAUGGUUGGCGCAGGCCCAACCUGUCACACGCAUUCUAUUGAGAUGUGUCUUGCAAAGCUAGCUACGUUGUCUUCUGGAACAAAGUGA
rnacentral:rRNA from 1 species